ACGCUCGACACCUACGAGAGGCAGCAGUGGGGAAUAUUGCACAAUGGAGGAAACUCUGAUGCAGCGAUGCCGCGUGGGGAAGAAGGUUUUCGGAUUGUAAACCUCUGUCUUUGGGGACGAUAAUGACGGUACCCAAGGAGGAAGCUCCGGCUAACUACGUGCUAGCAGCCGCGGUAAUCUGAGCGGGCUGGCAAGGC
rnacentral:rRNA from 1 species